GACAAUUCCAAACUUCUGACAUCCAUUCUGUGUCUCCUUCAUUCACCAUGUUCAUUCAGAUUUUGCUAGUAAAUAGAACAAGUUGGUAUGGGCUGCCCUCUGCUGUAAAAAAUAAGCUUUUACAACCUCUUGUCUGAUUCAACAGGACAACUCUUCCAUCAGAUGUGCCACAUGUAAAAGGGGCAGCAUUUAUGCUCAUGAUGUGGUAAGGUUAUUGCCUCAAACCUGAAGGGCACAAUCUGGAGAUUCAUUGCUGAAAGCCAGAUCCAGCUCUGAGGCUACAAAGGCUUAAAACAGAAGGGCUAAAGGAACUGAGAAGGGGGCAGAAAGAACAGGGAAGCAGUUCAGAAAUCCUG